rnacentral:rRNA from 1 species
AUUGAACGCUGGCGGCAGGCCUAACACAUGCAAGUCGAGCGAGCGGCGGACGGGUGAGUAAUGUAUGGGGACUGCCCGAUAGAGGGGGAUAACUACUGGAAACGGUAGCUAAUACCGCAUACUAUCGGAUAACCCAUAUGGGAUUAGCUAGUAGGUGAGGUAAUGGCUAACCUAGGCGACGAUCCCUAGCUGGUCUGAGCGGAUGAGCAGCCACACUGGUACUGAGACACGGCCCAGACGCCGACGGAGGCAGCAGUGGGGAAUAUUGCACAAUGGGCGCAAGCCUGAUGCAGCCAUGCCGCGUGUAUGAAGAAGGCCCUAGGGUUGUAAAGUACUUUCAGUCGUGAGGCGUUACCGGCAGAAGAAGCACCGGCUAACUCCGUGCCAGCAGCCGCGGUAAUUC